rnacentral:tRNA from 1 species
GGAUAGUUCAGUUGGUUAAAGUGUGGUACUGAUAAUGCCAAGGUUGCAGAUUCAAUCCCUGUAUGGGACA